GUGGGGAAUAUUGGACAAUGGGCGAAAGCCUGAUCCAGCCAUGCCGCGUGUGUGAAGAAGGUCUUCGGAUUGUAAAGCACUUUAAGUUGGGAGGAAGGGCAGUAAGUUAAUACCUUGCUGUUUUGACGUUACCGACAGAAUAAGCACCGGCUAACUUCGUGCCAGCAGCCGCGGUAAUACGAAGGGUGCAAGCGUUAAUCGGAAUUACUGGGCGUAAAGCGCGCGUAGGUGGUUUUGUAAGUUGGAGGUGAAAUCCCCGGGCUCAACCUGGGAACUGCCUGCAAAAAUGCAGGACUAGAGUACGGUAGAGGGUAGUGGAAUUUCCUGUGUAGCGGUGAAAUGCGUAGAUAUAGGAAGGAACACCAGUGGCGAAGGCGACUACCUGGACUGAUACUGACACUGAGGUGCGAAAGCGUGGGGAGCAAACAGGAUUAGAUACCCCGGUAGUCC
rnacentral:rRNA from 1 species